rnacentral:lncRNA from 1 species
AUACCCACAAGCCAGCCUUUUAAAGGCUGAAGUACUCACAGGUUGAGCGGAAUAGCUGAGCUGAGGAGGGACUCCUUGAUUACUGGAUGCUACGACAGGAUUCCCAGGGAGACAUUUCCAAACAGCAAAAGGACAAUGUUCUCUUCUAGAGGAGCUAGAAGACGCAGGUCUAACCACGGAGCAGCCUUCUCUAGGUCAAAUGCCUGGGAGAGCAGCUCUGAAACCUUUGUUGGGGAACUUCCAAGAA